rnacentral:rRNA from 1 species
GAUGAACGCUAGCGGCAGGCCUAACACAUGCAAGUCGAGGGGGAAGUUACUUUCGGGUAACUGAGACCGGCGUACGGGUGCGUAACGCGUAUACAAUCUGCCUUUCACUGGGGGAUAGCCCGAAGAAAUUUGGAUUAAUACCCCAUAGUAUAGUAGUGUGGCAUCACACAACUAUUAAAGCUUAGGUGGUGAAAGAUGAGUAUGCGUUCUAUUAGCUAGUUGGAGAGGUAACGGCUCCCCAAGGCUAUGAUAGAUAGGGGUUCUGAGAGGGAUGUCCCCCACACUGGUACUGAGAUACGGACCAGACUCCUACGGGAGGCAGCAGUGAGGAAUAUUGGACAAUGGUCGGAAGACUGAUCCAGCCAUGCCGCGUGCAGGAUGAAGGUCUUAUGGAUUGUAAACUGCUUUUGUAAGGGAAGAAUAAGGACUACGUGUAGUUUGAUGACGGUACCUUAUGAAUAAGCAUCGGCUAACUCCGUG